UCCGGUUUGUCACCGGCAGUCAUCCUAGAGUGCCCACCUUAAAGUGCUGGCAACUAAGAUCAAGGGUUGCGCUCGUUGCGGGACUUAACCCAACAUCUCACGACACGAGCUGACGACAACCAUGCACCACCUGUCUCCCCUGCCCCGAAGGGAGGGCCUAUCUCUAGGCUGGUCAGGGGGAUGUCAAGACCUGGUAAGGUUCUUCGCGUUGCUUCGAAUUAAACCACAUACUCCACUGCUUGUGCGGGUCCCCGUCAAUUCCUUUGAGUUUCAGUCUUGCGACCGUACUCCCCAGGCGGAAUGCUUAAUGUGUUAGCUACGGCACGGAUCCCGUGGAAGGAAACCCACACCUAGCGCCCACCGUUUACGGCGUGGACUAC
rnacentral:misc_RNA from 1 species